rnacentral:rRNA from 1 species
AUUGAACGCUGGCGGCAGGCCUAACACAUGCAAGUCGAGCGGCAGCGGGAAAGUAGCUUGCUACUUUUGCCGGCGAGCGGCGGACGGGUGAGUAAUGCCUGGGGAUCUGCCCAGUCGAGGGGGAUAACUACUGGAAACGGUAGCUAAUACCGCAUACGCCCUACGGGGGAAAGCAGGGGUCCUUCGGGCCUUGCGCGAUUGGAUGAACCCAGGUGGGAUUAGCUAGUUGGUGAGGUAAUGGCUCACCAAGGCGACGAUCCCUAGCUGGUCUGAGAGGAUGAUCAGCCACACUGGAACUGAGACACGGUCCAGACUCCUACGGGAGGCAGCAGUGGGGAAUAUUGCACAAUGGGGGAAACCCUGAUGCGGCCAUGCCGCGUGUGUGAAGAAGGCCUUCGGGUUGUAAAGCACUUUCAGCGAGGAGGAAAGGUUGGUAGCUAAUAACUGCCAGCUGUGACGUUACUCGCAGAAGAAGCACCGGCUAACUCCGUGCCAGCCGCCGCAGUAACAC